rnacentral:rRNA from 1 species
UGCAGUCGAGCGAAUGGAUUGAGAGCUUGCUCUCAAGAAGUUAGCGGCGGACGGGUGAGUAACACGUGGGUAACCUGCCCAUAAGACUGGGAUAACUCCGGGAAACCGGGGCUAAUACCGGAUAAUAUUUUGAACUGCAUGGUUCGAAAUUGAAAGGCGGCUUCGGCUGUCACUUAUGGAUGGACCCGCGUCGCAUUAGCUAGUUGGUGAGGUAACGGCUCACCAAGGCAACGAUGCGUAGCCGACCUGAGAGGGUGAUCGGCCACACUGGGACUGAGACACGGCCCAGACUCCUACGGGAGGCAGCAGUAGGGAAUCUUCCGCAAUGGACGAAAGUCUGACGGAGCAACGCCGCGUGAGUGAUGAAGGCUUUCGGGUCGUAAAACUCUGUUGUUAGGGAAGAACAAGUGCUAGUUGAAUAAGCUGGCACCUUGACGGUACCUAACCAGAAAGCCACGGCUAACUACGUGCCAGCAGCCGCGGUAAUACGUAGGUGGCAAGCGUUAUCCGGAAUUAUUGGGCGUAAAGCGCGCGCAGGUGGUUUCUUAAGUCUGAUGUGAAAGCCCACGGCUCAACCGUGGAGGGUCAUUGGAAACUGGG